UUCAGGCACUGUAGAUCCUACUUGGGAGGGUUGAGAGCUCCUGACGGAUUUUCGAGUUCACUAGGUAGCUACUCGUCGUUCGUAGCCCCGUGCUUCUCCCCCCUUUAUCUCAUUUCCUUUCCUUUAUUAGUGAUUCUGUAAUAGCUUUGUAGACUCUUCAAACUUGUAGUAUAUUGAUAGAUGCUCAUGACUAGUGACACCUUGGUAUCUGCUUGAGUUGGUUUUUUUUCAUGUUUAAGACUCAAUAAUUAUUGUUUUAAUUGCUAAAUUGUUAAAUGGGAAUGUGUCGGCUAGCUUUGUCUUCAUGAGAG
rnacentral:lncRNA from 1 species